UUGAACGCUGGCGGCAGGCCUAACACAUGCAAGUCGAGCGGUAGCACAGAGAGCUUGCUCUCGGGUGACGAGCGGCGGACGGGUGAGUAAUGUCUGGGAAACUGCCUGAUGGAGGGGGAUAACUACUGGAAACGGUAGCUAAUACCGCAUAACGUCGCAAGACCAAAGUGGGGGACCUUCGGGCCUCAUGCCAUCAGAUGUGCCCAGAUGGGAUUAGCUAGUAGGUGGGGUAACGGCUCACCUAGGCGACGAUCCCUAGCUGGUCUGAGAGGAUGACCAGCCACACUGGAACUGAGACACGGUCCAGACUCCUACGGGAGGCAGCAGUGGGGAAUAUUGCACAAUGGGCGCAAGCCUGAUGCAGCCAUGCCGCGUGUGUGAAGAAGGCCUUCGGGUUGUAAAGCACUUUCAGCGGGGAGGAAGGCGUUAAGGUUAAUAACCUUGGCGAUUGACGUUACCCGCAGAAGAAGCACCGGCUAACUCCGUGCCAGCAGCCGCGGUAAUACGGAGGGUGCAAGCGUUAAUCGGAAUUACUGGGCGUAAAGCGCACGCAGGCGGUCUGUCAAGUCGGAUGUGAAAUCCCCGGGCUCAACCUGGGAACUGCAUUCGAAACUGGCAGGCUAGAGUCUUGUAGAGGGGGGUAGAAUUCCAGGUGUAGCGGUGAAAUGCGUAGAGAUCUGGAGGAAUACCGGUGGCGAAGGCGGCCCCCUGGACAAAGACUGACGCUCAGGUGCGAAAGCGUGGGGAGCAAACAGGAUUAGAUACCCUGGUAGUCCACACUGUAAACGAUGAUAGCUAGGUGUGGGGGGUCUGACCCCUUCCGUGCCGGAGUUAACGCAAUAAGCUAUCCACCUGGGGAGUACGACCGCAAGGUUGAAACUCAAAGGAAUUGACGGGGGCCCGCACAAGCGGUGGAGCAUGUGGUUUAAUUCGAUGCAACGCGAAGAACCUUACCUGGUCUUGACAUCCACAGAACUUAGCAGAGAUGCUUUGGUGCCUUCGGGAACUGUGAGACAGGUGCUGCAUGGCUGUCGUCAGCUCGUGUUGUGAAAUGUUGGGUUAAGUCCCGCAACGAGCGCAACCCUUAUCCUUUGUUGCCAGCGGUUAGGCCGGGAACUCAAAGGAGACUGCCAGUGAUAAACUGGAGGAAGGUGGGGAUGACGUCAAGUCAUCAUGGCCCUUACGACCAGGGCUACACACGUGCUACAAUGGCAUAUACAAAGAGAAGCGACCUCGCGAGAGCAAGCGGACCUCAUAAAGUAUGUCGUAGUCCGGAUUGGAGUCUGCAACUCGACUCCAUGAAGUCGGAAUCGCUAGUAAUCGUAGAUCAGAAUGCUACGGUGAAUACGUUCCCGGGCCUUGUACACACCGCCCGUCACACCAUGGGAGUGGGUUGCAAAAGAAGUAGGUAGCUUAACCUUCGGGAGGGCGCUUACCACUUUGUGAUUCAUGACUGGGGUG
rnacentral:rRNA from 1 species